UCCAGCAGUAUAUAACCCCAAUUUGCUUCUCUAUUCCUUGCUGGAUUGUUAAGCUACUCAAUAUGAGUCUGUCCUGGUGUACCCACCCACCUCGCUUUUGGAGAAACCUGCCUCGCCCAUUCUUGCUCACAAAGAAAUACUCACUGUUCCAAAUAUGGAUUUGGAGAGAUCAUACCAUCACCAGAGCCUGUGGAAAAAAGAGAAAUGUUCCCAGUAGAAAACAGACAAGUCUUACCUGCAAUUCCACCCCUAAAACUACAACUACAACCUGUUGCUGUUCUGACUCAGGCCGACUACAACCAACCUACUCGUCUACCCUGUGAGAACGGUUAAGAAAACACCACGGCACCUCUGUGCUGAAUCACAAUAUUCAUUGACGUUACCAGAGAGGAAGUGCACGGAGGGACAGCAGACGGAAAUAUCAUAACCUCUUUUCUCCAAAGGCUGCCUCCACCCACCAUUUGAAGCCCACCUUGACAUUUCCAGCUAGUGACACCAACUGAGGGCUCUGGAUUUUUCAUGGGUGUUUUACAUGCACAUGAACUAAUAACAUCUUCCUAGAUGUAACUGUGUCAGUCAGCUCGGGACUGCUGUCCAAGAACGUCCUGUGCAGAAUCCCUGUU